UACGGGGGGGGUAAGCGUUGUUCGGAAUUACUGGGCGUAAAGGGCUCGUAGGCGGCCAACUAAGUCAGACGUGAAAUCCCUCAGCUUAACUGGGGAACUGCGUCUGAUACUGGAUGGCUUGGAUUCGGGAGAGGAAUGCGGAAUUCCAGGUGUAGCGGUGAAAUGCGUAGAUAUCUGGAGGAACACCGGUGGCGAAGGCGACAUCCUGGACCGGUAUUGACGCUGAGGCGCGAAAGCCAGGGGAGCAAACGGG
rnacentral:rRNA from 1 species